rnacentral:rRNA from 1 species
GGGGGGGGGGGGGGGGGGGGCGGGCGGGGGGGGGGCGGGGGGGGGGGGGGAGGGGGCGCCGGGGGGCAGCGGCGGACGGGUGAGUAAUGCCGGGGCAUCGGCCGGGUAGUGGGGGGUAACGUCCGGAAACGGGCGCUAAUACCGCAUACGUGCCGAGGGGGAGAGGGGGGGAUCUGCGGACCUCACGCUCUCAGCUGAGCCUAGGCCGGGUUAGCUAGUUGGUGGGGUCAAGGCCUACCAAGGCGACGAUCGGUAACUGGUCUGAGAGGAUGAUCAGUCACACUGGAACUGAGACACGGUCCAGACUCCUACGGGAGGCAGCAGUGGGGAAUAUUGGACAAUGGGCGAAAGCCUGAUCCAGCCAUGCCGCGUGUGUGAAGAAGGUCUUCGGAUUGUAAAGCACUUUAAGUUGGGAGGAAGGGCAGUAAGUUAAUACCUUGCUGUUUUGACGUUACCAACAGAAUAAGCACCGGCUAACUUCGUG